rnacentral:rRNA from 1 species
GACGAACGCUGGCGGCGUGCUUAACACAUGCAAGUCGAACGGAAAGGCCCUGCUUUUGUGGGGUGCUCGAGUGGCGAACGAGUGAGUAACACGUGAGUAACCUGCCCUUGACUUUGGGAUAACUUCAGGAAACUGGGGCUAAUACCGGAUAGGAGCUCCUGCUGCAUGGUGGGGGUUGGAAAGUUUCGGCGGUUGGGGAUGGACUCGCGGCUUAUCAGCUUGUUGGUGGGGUAGUGGCUUACCAAGGCUUUGACGGGUAGCCGGCCUGAGAGGGUGACCGGCCACAUUGGGACUGAGAUACGGCCCAGACUCCUACGGGAGGCAGCAGUGGGGAAUAUUGCACAAUGGGCGGAAGCCUGAUGCAGCAACGCCGCGUGCGGGAUGACGGCCUUCGGGUUGUAAACCGCUUUCGCCUGUGACGAAGCGUGAGUGACGGUAAUGGGUAAAGAAGCACCGGCUAACUACGUGCCAGCAGCCGCGGUGAUACGUAGGGUGCGAGCGUUGUCCGGAUUUAUUGGGCGUAAAGGGCUCGUAGGUGGUUGAUCGCGUCGGAAGUGUAAUCUUGGGGCUUAACCCUGAGCGUGCUUUCGAUACGGGUUGACUUGAGGAAGGUAGGGGAGAAUGGAAUUCCUGGUGGAGCGGUGGAAUGCGCAGAUAUCAGGAGGAACACCAGUGGCGAAGGCGGUUCUCUGGGCCUUUCCUGACGCUGAGGAGCGAAAGCGUGGGGAGCGAACAGGCUUAGAUACCCUGGUAGUCCACGCUGUAAACGGUGGGUACUAGGUGUGGGGUCCAUUCCACGGGUUCCGUGCCGUAGCUAACGCUUUAAGUACCCCGCCUGGGGAGUACGGCCGCAAGGCUAAAACUCAAAGGAAUUGACGGGGCCCCGCACAAGCGGCGGAGCAUGCGGAUUAAUUCGAUGCAACGCGUAGAACCUUACCUGGGUUUGACAUGGAUCGGGAGCGCUCAGAGAUGGGUGUGCCUCUUUUGGGGUCGGUUCACAGGUGGUGCAUGGCUGUCGUCAGCUCGUGUCGUGAGAUGUUGGGUUAAGUCCCGCAACGAGCGCAACCCUUGUUCACUGUUGCCAGCACGUUAUGGUGGGGACUCAGUGGAGACCGCCGGGGUCAACUCGGAGGAAGGUGGGGAUGACGUCAAGUCAUCAUGCCCCUUAUGUCCAGGGCUUCACGCAUGCUACAAUGGCUGGUACAGAGAGUGGCGAGCCUGUGAGGGUGAGCGAAUCUCGGAAAGCCGGUCUCAGUUCGGAUUGGGGUCAGCAACUCGACCUCAUGAAGUCGGAGUCGCUAGUAAUCGCAGAUCAGCAACGCUGCGGUGAAUACGUUCCCGGGGCU